CCGCUACCCUAGCCUGAUUGUGCACUGUUUUAAAGUUAAUGAGAUGGUAAACAUGAACAGUUUAGUAAACUUACCUGAGUCCAAAUCGAUUUGUGUAUGGGAUCCUCAAUUUAAGCUGCUCGCAUAUUAAACUGUGAAGAUGCAUAAAUCACUGCCACCAAGAAAAAUGUCAAAGAGGAUACUUUUUAAAAGUACCGAAACUUGUCAAAUUCAAUACAUUUAAACUAUGUAUCAACUGGUUGUAUUUUUCUGGUCACAAAAGUGAGGCGGCAAGCAUUGCAAGUCACAUGCACAAGAUUCUAUGAGCAUACACAGCUAUUCAAACAGUUGAAACAUUCAUAUAUGCAAUUAUGACACAUCUCAGCGCAGAUUUUCAGUGUGCGCUUAAGCGGAUACACUUUGAGAAUGAAAGAUACAAGAAAAAGGAAAGACCAAUUUAUUCUUUGUUUUAUAUGGUUUGGUCGUUAUAUCAAGCAUGAAAAGAGUGCAGACCUGAUGCAGCAUUUAUCACAGUUCCUAACUGAUAGCCAAAUAAUCACCAAUAGAUGGAUGUGUCAGCCAGUAGAACAACUGAAAAACAGAGAGAAACAAAUUAGCACCAAUUGUGUGGAAAGUCAUAUGAAAGAUAAGAUCGUGACCUCUUCUCCUACAGUCCUGCUCACUAAAAUACUUUGCUUAAACUUCAUGCAUGGUGUAAAUGCUCUCACCUAAAAUAAGUAUAUGCAAAUUUCAGUACACAUGAUAAAGUAAAACAUUCAAUGCAGCAUAGUGCAUACAUUUCUCAUUUCAUGAUAUGUCAAUAGCACAUGGAUGUCAAAAUGAAUGUGUGCAUGUGCUUUUGAGAAAAAAGAAUUCUACAACACAUGCAUGGCAAAUUACAGGCUCUUUUAGGGCUGGAGUAGUUACUUAGUCCAUGUACCACAAUUCAGUAUUAUUCAUCCCAAGAACACAUGCAUGGCAAAUCUUGGGAAAGGCUCCCAAAUUGAAUUCUACACCAAGAUUCAGUAUUAUUCCUCCCACCAAUAUUCAGUGAAUGAAUCUACCACAAGAACAAAAAGGGAAUCACUCUUUACUUAGUCCAUCUACAUAGCGAAAAUCUGUCUACAUUUAAAAUGCACUUGCAAAUCACAACAGUAACAUCUACAAGCCGUGUAGGUACAUCCAUGCAGGUACAUGAGAUGCAACAGUCAUAAUUACAUGGAUUUUCGAGCAAAGAAUUCUACAAAGAUACAUGUAUAAGAAUUCAAACAACUAAUUUAGAUCUCCUUUCCUACUGCAAAGGUCUCGCAAAGAGGUGUGAUUACAUACCUGAACUGUCCCUUAACUGAUUUGAUGAUCAGCACACAGCUUGGAAACCGUCCCUUAAAUUUUCUGAUGGUUCGCACAUAGCUUGAUCUCUCGCCCAGCCAUGCUUUAGGUACUCUUUAUAUGGUUCACAUUAUCUGAUCUGGGCGAGAUAUGGGGCAACUACCAAUAUAUGGAAAUCAGAGCAACCAACAGGGAAGCAAAAGGAAAGGAGGCAUGAAGGAAACCAAUCUUUGUCCAUGAUUCUGGUGAGUGCCCUGAAGGAUAGCCCUGUUAACAUGAAGGAAACCAAUCUCUCCAUGAUCUGGUUCUGGGCGUUCCUCAGGUGAGAUGAUGGAGUUUUGGCCGGUGACCCUCCCACGAAGAUUCUGCUGAAAUCAUGUAGUUAUUGUGGGGGUUCGUCAGCUGAAAUCAUGGAGAUAUUUCGGGUGUGUUUUUUUCCGGAGAAUGUAUGUAUGUGAAAUCAUGUAGUUAUUAUGGACGUUUGUCAGCUGAAAUCA